rnacentral:rRNA from 1 species
GACGAACGCUGGCGGCGUGCUUAACACAUGCAAGUCGAGCGGUAAGGCCCUUUCGGGGGUACACGAGCGGCGAACGGGUGAGUAACACGUGGGUGACCUGCCCUCAGCUCUGGGAUAAGCCUGGGAAACUGGGUCUAAUACUGGAUAUGACUCCACGGUGCAUGUCGUGGGGUGGAAAGCCUUGUGCGGCUGAGGAUGGGCCCGCGGCCUAUCAGCUUGUUGGUGGGGUGANGGCCUACCAAGGCGACGACGGGUAGCCGGCCUGAGAGGGCGACCGGCCACACUGGGACUGAGACACGGCCCAGACUCCUACGGGAGCAGCAGUGGGGGAUCUUGCGCAAUGGGCGAAAGCCUGACGCAGCGACGCCGCGUGAGGGAUGACGG